rnacentral:rRNA from 1 species
GAUAUUUGGUAGAGACUGUUGAAGCCCCCUGGUCCCAGCAGACCCCAGAAAACAGCCACAUUUUGCUGGUGCUGGAAUAAGGUUAAGGGUGAAGCCUGGUACCAGAUGUGU